UACGUAGGGGGCAAGCGUUGUCCGGAUUUACUGGGCGUAAAGCGCGCGUAGGCGGCACGAUCAGUCCGGUCUGAAAGCCCCCGGCUCAACCGGGGAGGGUGGCUGGAAACUGUCGUUCUUGAGGGCGAGAGAGGAGGGUGGAAUUCCUGGUGUAGCGGUGAAAUGCGUAGAGAUCAGGAGGAACACCCGUGGCGAAGGCGGCCCUCUGGCUCGACCCUGACGCUGAGGCGCGAAAGCGUGGGGAGCGAACAGG
rnacentral:rRNA from 1 species